rnacentral:snRNA from 1 species
AGACGUCGGCGGGGGCCU